rnacentral:lncRNA from 1 species
UCCGAGGAAACCCAGGGACGCCUUCCAAAUCACAACUGUUUUAGUAACCUGUUGUUUUUCGUCCUUGCGAAACACACUUUUGCUGCAGCCACGAACCUACGUGAUCCUCAACCCGGUCUGCUUUUAUUUGUCCCCUCUGACUUAAAUUGAUGGCCCUUAUUUUUUACCCAGCGGCUGCCCCUUGCCUUUUCUUCUUCUGUUUUCCUGCCGCCUGUUGCUUCCCUCCCCCUGCUCCCAUUUUUCAGCUUUUCUUGAAAUCUGGCAAGCGCCAGAAAGGGAAAUAACUUCCAUCCACCAUAAUUUAAAUCAUUCAAAUGUAGGUUUCUUUCUUAAAGGGAUGUUUGCUCCCUCCUUUCCCCCAGCUCCAAGAGGGGAGUGGGCGGUUUCGUGCAGUUUCUUGGUGAUGAGGUAAUGAGUUCCAGAUUUCAGGACAGAGUAGGGUGCGCAUUAAAACCACAAGGUUAGUCUGCGUCCCGAUGUGAAGCUAUUUCGGUUUUUGAUUCCGCCACCCCAAAAAAAGGGCCGGUUGGUCUUUAACUCGGGCGGGUUCGGGAAGCUCUGCUGGCGGGACGGGGGAGGGGUGGAGAAGCGGGGGUGGAGAAGCCAGGGGGAAGGGGACCCGGAGCGGGCGGGCCGUCUUCCCAGCCCGGAGCCCGGCCAGGCCCGCACCCGUGGUCCCCCCUCUCCGAGUGGCGCCUCUUCCCCGCCCCCCCUCCCCCGGCUGCGGGACCGCCCAAAAGCACCAUCACGCGGUCUCGGCGCCCUAGGCUGGCUAAAAAGUCUCUUUUUUCCAAAGAGAACGCCGAUUCCUCGAAUUUCCUUCACUUUUCCAACUCCCGGAGGGCGCUCCCCUCCCCCGCUCCCGGGGGCGCGGGCUCCGCGGGGCGCGGCCAGCCUGGCCCGCUCGCUCCGGAGUUGUUUACCGGCCCCGCCAACCGACCGGGUUUGUUCCAGCUCCCAGAGCCUGUCUCUAUAAUUAAACUCUUUUUUUAAUUGUGGGGUUGAAACGUCAUUUCGGGGACUUUCCAAGGGUGAGGGAGCCGAGGGGAGGGAGCGAGCCGCCUUAACUCUUCGCUGACCCGGCUUGCGCGCCGCGGUGGGCCAGGAGCAGCAUCCAGCCAGGCAAGGAGGGAUGGGGGUCUGGGGGCCGGAGCCGGCCUGACCCCCCCCCCCCCGCUCCCCGGGACGUGCUCAGCAGGUGCCCCAUGGUGGCGGGAACGGCCGCGAGCCGCGACCCGGGCAGGAAGCCCGACGGGAGGCGUGCACGGCCCUCCCCCGGCUCCUCCGCUCGGCAGUCAACCCUCCGGUUCCUCCCCGCGCCAGGCCAGAGUGGCCGCCCCUUCACCUGCACUGCCGCUUCCGACCGGGAGGCGAUGGGCCAGGUGCUCCGUUCCAGGCCUGACUUCUGGGCCCUCCCCACUCGCUUGGAGCCGGUCCCCUGGUGAGGAGUGGCUAGCCAGGUAUUUUUGGCUUGGGGGUGUUAGGUUUUGUGAAAAGGAGAAAGUGAAAGUCCUCGCAAUUAGGGAAGCGUGACGGAUAUAUUCAUCGGCCAGUCUGGAUCCUGGGCCCACCUCGCGGCAGGUGAGAGUGUGGGGCGCCAGACUGCUGACCCGUAGACGGCCGCGCCUCGUCACCACCGCCAUCCAAGGCACCCCUUCCCCAGAAGCCCCUUCUGGCCCUGGUGGCAGCACAGGACCUGCCGUCGCUGAGCCCUGCAGUGCUGCACUUCCUCCCCGGCUUCAGGGCAGCAAGAGUUGCAAGAAAGUGAAGCAAACCAAGGCAAAAUUGAGAAGCAACAGAAGUAAAAAUGCAAGUGUGUUUGCCUUAGCGCUUGGCUUUGGCGUGCCCCGGCUGUCUGCAGUAGUCUUGCUACAGCUCUUCUGGAAGAUGUGAACGUUGCGGGGAACAUACACAGUGCCUGCAGAUCCCAACUUGUCAAGAUUUGUCCUCAAAAGGGCAAGCAAGGGACUUACCUGCCCUCCCCUAGUCUCCUCUGCUGUGAAAUGGCAAUGACAGCGAUACCCAUCUCCUGGGGCUGCCGCGAGGACAGAUGAGCAAAGCGCUUGGCACGUGUGAGCAUCCCUAGUCAACUGUUGCUGUAUGUUAAGCUGCGAAUUGGCAAGACCGAGAAGAAGGCUGGAGGCCCCACAAAGUGGGGUUCCACGGAGUCACUGGAACACAGUCAAGUAUCCUGAGCAAGAGAGAGAAGAGGGUCCCAGAGGAGGCCCAGGCAGCUGGCGGGUGGAGCGCUGCUCCGACAGCCAAGGACAGCCAGUCACAGCCGGGUGUCCUCCGGGGUGGGAGGACGCAGGGGGCUGCACUGCAGUCCUCCCGCAUUAGCUCAACGCCGCUGCAUCCCCACCCUUGCAUGUGUUCAUCCUGACAUGAAACCCAGCACGCAGUGACCUCACCCCCACUAUGUGCAGCCGCUGGCCAAGCAGAGAGCUGUACCAGAGUGAGCUUCAGAAGUGCUCAUUGGCCUCAGAGAUUUCAUAACUGGGCGUUUCUGCCCAAAUGCAGAAAUCUGUCUUUGAACUAGAGUUUAAGGAUGUGACCAAAUGCUGAGAAAUUCUUAUUUCAGGGCUGAUUUUUUUUUCUGUAAGUAGAAAGGCAAAGAGUUCAAAAUAUAUUCUGGAAAUGUGAACAGCAACUGAAUCUUGGUAAUAUUUAGGGAGUAUUAUUAAUUUUUAGGUGAAAUAAGGACAGUGUGGCUAAGUUGAAUGAGUCCAUUUUUUUUAGAGCUACAUACUGAAAUACCAACAGAUGAAAUGAUAUGAUCCAAUAUAUAGGAUUUACUUCAAAAUUAUAUGGGAGGUGGGGAGGCAGCUGGUGCUGUAAAUGAACAAGCUUGGCCAGGAGUUGGUGAUGUUGGUGAUGGGAGUUCCUCAUACUCUCUGUCUUCUUCUGUACACGCUUGAUGUUUUCCAUAAAAAAAUGUUUUAAGUUCAUAAAAGCUGAAAAAAAUUUAACUCAGGGAUUCUUGUUUUACUGGUUCUUGCAACAUGAUAUUUACUUCCGAAGGACAUGUGCUCUUGGACAAGAGAUGAGCUUGUAGGGGGAUGUGCCCAGAGCCGCGGAGGACUGGCAAAGAGACAGGGAGACCACCACCCCGGGGUCAGG